rnacentral:rRNA from 1 species
AGAGUUUGAUCAUGGCUCAGGACGAACGCUGGCGGCGUGCUUAACACAUGCAAGUCGAACGAGACCUUCGGGUCGAGUGGCGGACGGGUGAGUAACGCGUGGGCAACCUGCCUUGUAGUGGGGGAUACCCAGCCGAAAGGUUGGCUAAUACCGCAUGAGCUCUCUGGUUGGGAUACCGGAGAGGAAAGAUUCAUUGCUAUAAGAGGGGCCCGCGUUCGAUUAGCUAGUUGGUGAGGUAACGGCUCACCAAGGCGACGAUCGAUAGCUGGUCUGAGAGGACGAUCAGCCACACUGGAACUGAGACACGGUCCAGACUCCUACGGGAGGCAGCAGUGGGGAAUUUUCCGCAAUGGGCGAAAGCCUGACGGAGCAACGCCGCGUGGAUGAUGAAGUCUUUCGGGACGUAAAAUCCUUUCAGGGGGGAAGAAGCCAGUGACGGUACCCCCAGAAGAAGCACCGGCUAACUACGUGCCAGCAGCCGCGGUAAUACGUAGGGUGCGAGCGUUGUCCGGAAUUAUUGGGCGUAAAGGGAGCGUAGGCGGCCAUUUAAGUUUGGUCUUAAAGACCGGGGCUCAACCCCGGGAGUGGACUGAAUACUGGGUGGCUAGAGGAUGUCAGAGGAAAGUGGAAUUCCGAGUGUAGCGGUGAAAUGCGUAGAUAUUCGGAGGAACACCAGUGGCGAAAGCGACUUUCUGGGGCAUU